GAUGAAGAACGUAGCGAAAUGCGAUACUUGGUGUGAAUUGCAGAAUCCCGUGAACCAUCGAGUCUUUGAACGCAAGUUGCGCCCGAAGCCACUAGGCCGAGGGCACGCCUGCCUGGGCGUCACACGCCGUUGCCCCCCCAUCUACUCCUUCGGGAUUGCGGGGGGCGGAUGAUGGCCUCCCGUGCGCCUCGUCGCGCGGUUGGCAUAAAUGCCAAGUCCUCGGCGACGCACGUCACGACAAUCGGUGGUUGCGAAACCUCGGUUGCCCGUCGUGUGCGGUCGUCGCGCAUCGAGGGCUCGAAAAAAUUGCCGGGCUCCGGCUCGGCUUUCAACGCGACCCCAGGUCAGGCGGGGUUACCCGCUGAAUUUAAGCAUAUCAAUAAGCGGAGGA
rnacentral:misc_RNA from 1 species